rnacentral:rRNA from 1 species
AGCUCCAAUAGCGUAUAUUAAAGUUGUUGCGGUUAAAAAGCUCGUAGUUGGAUCUCGGCAGCCCCAUUUGGCUGUGUGAUUGGCGGAGGUUCCGGGGUGCUCUUCGUUGAGUGUCCCGGUGCGCCGUCAGGUUUACUUUGAAAAAAUUAGAGUGCUCAAAGCAGGCUUUUCAGGCUUGAAUAUUCGUGCAUGGAAUAAUGGAAUAGGAACUCGUUCCUAUUUUGUUGGUUUUCGGGAAUCGAGUUAAUGAUUAAUAGGGACAAUUGGGGGCAUUAGUAUUCAAACGACAGAGGUGAAAUUCUUGGACCGUUUGAAGACUAACUACUGCGAAAGCAUUUGCCAAGAGUGUUUUCA